rnacentral:rRNA from 1 species
CGUGCAGGUGGCUUGGUAAGUUAGGCGUGAAAUCUCCCGGCUCAACUGGGAGAGGUCGUCUAAUACUACCGGGCUUGAGAGCAGAAGAGGAAGAUGGAAUUCCCGGUGUAGUGGUGAAAUGCGUAGAUAUCGGGAGGAACACCAGUGGCGAAGGCGAUCUUCUGGUCUGUUUCUGACACUCAGACGCGACAGCUAGGGUAGUAAACG